rnacentral:misc_RNA from 1 species
GAAAGUUUUGUUUUUUUUUUUUUUCCGGGUAGGUAGAAACAGAGAAAUGGUGAUGGUGUUGAAUGUGAAUGGUGAGGAAGGAGAGGAACGCUCCUAGCGCUUCUUCUUCACGAGUUUCUUUCUCACACGGCUGGGCAAAGGGAGGGUCCCACCUUGGAUUAUUACUGUAACGAUCAUUAACGGUCAAUUGUUUCUUCUCAAAAGUCAUAGAAGGAGAAAAUGAGAGAGAGAGAAAGACCAAUCUUUAUUUAUUUAUUUUUG